UGGGGAGUCGCCAAGCGGUAAGGCACGAGACUUUGACCCUCGUAUACGAAUGUCCGACUCAUUCCUCCCCAGCCA
rnacentral:tRNA from 1 species